rnacentral:rRNA from 1 species
UACGUAGGGUGCGAGCGUUGUCCGGAAUUACUGGGCGUAAAGAGCUCGUAGGUGGUUUGUCGCGUUGUUCGUGAAAACUCACAGCUUAACUGUGGGCGUGCGGGCGAUACGGGCAGACUGGAGUACUGCAGGGGAGACUGGAAUUCCUGGUGUAGCGGUGGAAUGCGCAGAUAUCAGGAGGAACACCGGUGGCGAAGGCGGGUCUCUGGGCAGUACUGACGCUGAGGAGCGAAAGCGUGGGGAGCGAACAGG